UACAGAGGAGCCAAGCGUUGUCCGGAUUGACUGGGCGUAAAGCGCACGCAGGCGGAUGCGCGCGUGGGGUGUGAAAUCUGGCCGCUUAACGGCCAGGCGCCAUCCCAUACGGCGCGUCUGGAGUGAUGCAGAGGUCGGUGGAAUUGCCGGUGUAGUGGUGAAAUGCGCAGAUAUCAGGAGGAACACCGAUGGCGAAGGCAGCCCCCUGGGCCAAUACUGACGCUCAGGCACGAAAGCGUGGGGAGCAAACAGG
rnacentral:rRNA from 1 species